rnacentral:tRNA from 1 species
GAUCGCUUAGCUCAGUUGGUUAGAGCGUGGUGCUAAUACAAUUGAUCAUUGAUCAAUAUUGAGACGCCAAGGUCGCGAGUUCGACCCUCGUAGUGAUCA